rnacentral:lncRNA from 1 species
UCAUAGAUACCUGUGUAAAACCCCCCCAGAUUUUUCCACUCAAAAUUUAGGGUGAGGUUUCACCUGAUCAAAGCGAAAAGAGAAAGAUCAACUUGGGCUAGUCGGCAGUUGAGGAGUCUGAAUCAUGUAGACCAUCCAAUGCUGGGCCUGUGAAAUAUAUUAGUAUUAGGUUCAUCAAGGAGAUGGUAUCAGGAUUGCCUCAGGGUACGUGAGAGCCCUCCACCAGGCGUCAUUCUUAUAUGACCUGCUUAGAUUACAAGAAGUAUCAAGAGGAAUGAUAGAUAUAGGGAGCCACUGUUGCUAGGAUUAAGAGGGC